AAGUCGUAACAAGGUUUCCGUAGGUGAACCUGCGGAAGGAUCAUUACAAAAGUUAAACACUUGGGGGAACGGACUCGCCUUUCGGGGCUCGAGGCCUGACUCCAUUUGUAACAAACUUUCAACCACUUGUGAAUUUGUAACAAAUUUCUCACCAAUUGACUGUUAACGAAGUCUGAUUCAAAUUGUAUUGGUGUUUAUAGACACUAGUAAAAUAUGAACAA
rnacentral:misc_RNA from 1 species